GGUGGGUGUGGUGGCGAGGGGCGCGGGUGCAGUAUGGAGAUACCAGUGAUUUACAAUAUAUUGAGGAGCUUCCUGUUUCUACUCACUACAAAAUGUGCAUAUUUAACAGAAUUGCAGCAACCCAUUCUAUUAACUAUUAAAACUCUGUUGCACCCGUGUCAGAGAAUGACUCCAAGGCCUCUUUAAAGUUUAAUGUUACCAGCGCCCUAGCAUUGUGUUCCUGAUUGCAUGAUCCGGAUUAUGGAUCAUAAGCAGUUUGUAACAUCAAAAUUAGAAUUUCAAAAUGCAAACUAUGAGUAGAGAAUCAAACAAUAUCAAUCAUACAAAUAUCGUAUAAUAUUGCUAUUAUUAUCAUUAUUAUGCUGUAAAUUUUGGUAUUUUGAAUUUUUUUUUUUUUAGUCUUGAGUUUUUAACGUAACAUUUUUUAAAUUAAAACUUAUUUUGCUAGAGUGAUCUACACUCUAGGUAAACCUAAGCUUUAGACAGACCCACAUUACACUGGCAGGCAUUCAGUGACAAAAAAGGACAAUAAGGCCUGUAUGGUACCAUAACAUAUAGAAGCUCAUCUCAUUUCUUAGAGAGAGGAAUAAGGAACAUGAAAGUAUAACGUACAUUUCGUC
rnacentral:misc_RNA from 1 species